rnacentral:rRNA from 1 species
AUGCAGCAACUAAACCUACUCCCUCCUCUGUCUCCACCGCCGUCGCCACCACCACCUCCGCCGCCGGCCACUGGAGACAGGCGCCGCCGCCACACCGCCCCCACACGUUUUACCCGCGAGCCAUCUCUAGCCCCGAGCCGCUCCACACCACCAGAGCCGACCCAGCCUCGAGAGAGCUGCAGGAGUAGGCCGUGGGAGAGCAUGCUAGAGGGGGCGCGUCCGAGGAAGCAAGCACGGGAUGCUAGGGUUGCGGGAGCUGCGCCGGCGAGGACUCACGGCGGAGCAGGCCGGCGGCGCUAG